ensembl:lincRNA
AUGAAAUUACUCUCUGGAGUUACUAUAGGCCAAGCACGUGCUGGACACCUAAUGAGAUUGCUCUGUGGAGUAGUUACGGUAGGUCAAGUGCACGGUGAUCCUGCAGCCGCUCAGCCCCUCUGUCCCAGCAGUCCAUGUCUCCAGCUUCCCCUCUGCCCUUUCACCCUUUUGUUCUCUCCCCCGCUCUCAGCUCCCUCGGGGGACUUGCUGCCCCUGGGUCAGAGCCACCACGGCAUCUCUACAGACUCAUUUCCUAGGAGGCAGGAGAACAGAAGAAGUAUUCGUAGUGGGAACGACGUUUCAGCCCUUGGAGCCUGGGUAGGAUGUGAAAUAGUAGGCACGGUGGCGAGAGGACUUCUAGGCAGGGGAAACAGCAAAAAUGAAGAGCUCUCCUUUCUGUACAGACAUCCCUCUCCAAACUGCACAGAAUGUUUUUGGACACAAAGGUCUGCCCAGAGCCUGCUGAAUAAAGGAGAGGAUCACUAAACCAACAGUGUUUAUGCUUCUGUGGCUAUGAACAAUGAUAAGAAAAUUCAUUUCAUAAAUGACCCUAAUACAUAUAUAACCAAAAAAUUUCAUGAAAUAAUAACUAACCUUGCUACAUGUGACGCUGUUAGAUAUCUACUAAUCUAUCUUCUUCUGUUUCAUUUUUAAAAUUUUGUUGUUGUUGUUUAAAUUUUGUUGUUUUUUGAUGUGGGACAUUUUAAAAGUCAUAUUGAAUCUGUUUCUGUAUUGCUUCUGUUUUAUGGUUUGGUUUUUUGGCCAUGAGCCAUGUGGGAUCUUAGCUCCUCGAGGAGGGAUCAGCCUCCUCCUGCAUUGGAAGGCAAUGUCUUAAUCACUGGCCACCAGGGAAUCCCUCUAUUUUAUUUUUUUAAAUCCUGAUUGAUCCUAGUUCAAACUAGCUAUAAGAAGACAUUUUUCAGACACUUGAGGUAUAGUGAAUAAUUCAAGAAUUGUUGCUUUUUUAGUGUAGUAAUGGACUUUGUUUUUAUGUAAGAAAAUAUUUAUAUGUUUUUUAAAGAUAACAUGCUGGCAUGCGUGCGUGUUAAGUCACUUCAGUCGUGUCUGACUCUUUGCCACCCCAGAUACUGUAGCCCACCAGGCUUGUCUGUCCACAGGAUUCUCCAGGCAAGAACACUGGAGUGGGUUGCCAUGCCCUCCUCCAGGGGAUCUUCCCAGCACUGAACCCAGGUCUCUUUCGUCUCCUACAUUGGCAGGCAGCUUCUUUACCACUAGUGCCAUCUGGGAAGCCACAUGCUGAUGUAUGUAGAAGUAAAUUAACAUUCUGUUUGGAAUUUUCUCGAAAAUACCUCCCAAGGAGUAAAAGUUGGAACAACAGGACAUAAGAAGCUGAUGUGAACAUCUUGCUAUUGUUAAAACUGGGUGAUGGGUGUAUGGGAGUUCAUUUUACUAUUCUCUCUACUUUGUAGAUGAUAUUGUGUUCAUAAAGAAAAAGAUCUUAAAUUCUGGUUAUAUUUUGAUUUCAUUCUUCACCUGUAUCAUGAGUUGGAGUUUGAAAAGCACUGUACUCAAUCAUGUCAAUAUAAAUGCAAGAUAAACAACGGGAGACAGGCAAAUGUGUCAGGCUGUACCUCUUGAGCUGGAGAUUUGUUCACAGGAACAAGAGUUGAUUGACUUCUCCAACAAAUAGUUGCUCCAACACCAAAACUACCUGUUGUUGCUAAGUCAUUUUACACAAAAUAUGAAAUAUCUGAGAUUGUUGCCAAUACAAUCUAAGACAGAGAUUUUCAUUUAAAACCAAAGUUUAAAAAAAAAAGUGUCUUCAAAAUUCUGAGCUAAAAGUAUGGUACUCAGUGCUUUGAAUGGAAAAUUUAAAAGGCUGUGGACAUUAAUCUCCUUUCACUUAGGUCAAAUUAACCUUUUCUUGGCCUCAUAUAAUUUAUGAGGAAUCACAAAGAAUCAAAAAAUGGAACUGAUCAUUCAUAAUUGUUUGUUGGCCUUUUUGGAGACACCUUCAAUUUUCACACAAAUACAUCCAAACUAGCAUGAGCAAAGAAACAAGUGAUUGCCUUGAGUUUAAAAGCCUGUUUUGGUUAAAAGCCUUAACAUAUUUUAACCAGCAGAUUUGUUUAGUUAUUGUAUUUUCUCUUAAGGCAACUUGUCUGAUGAAUCAAGGGCUAAAUCCAUCUGUGACUACAUUCUUCAUAGCCAAAUUUAUUCAUUUAUGUAAUUCCCAAUUAUUCAAAAAAUAUUCUGCUCGGACCUUUAUUUGCACACAGCCUGAGAUUCUCAUUAUAAGUAGAGGUCCAAUUUGUCAUUGUUACACCCUUCAGCAACAGUUCUGUCAAACAACAGUUCUUUCAUAAGCAUAUAAACCAGGAAGACAGAUGCAGGGUCACUUACUAUAAGAAAGUAACCACCACUGGCAACAUGGGGUUAUUGCUGAUAUUUUCCCAGUGUUACCAUGUGUGACGGCUGAAAGUUUAUGUGUUUCCCAUAGGGCGGAUAGUGUCUGGAUAAAUCAAUAUAGCAUCGUGGUCAAACAUAAUUGUCAUUUCAAUGUACUCUACAACUGAGUCCCUUCAAGACAGAAAACAGUUACCAUCCUCGUAUUAGCUGAACAUGAACUUUAGAAAGUCUUUAUUAAACAGUCAUUGGUAAUUCCUAAAAUGUAACAUGGGUCUCUUAAAUUUCCUGUAUAACUGUUUUUGUUUGUUUUUAAGGAACUAGAAACUAUAAUUUCUAAGAGCAAGAGGUACUGAGAAAUUUUGUUUUAGCAUGUGUCUAAAGGUUGGAAAAUAAUUUCUUUUGCAAGUUGGACACUUUUAUGCAACCAACCUUCUAAUAACUUCAGCUUAAUUUGAAGAGGGAAACUACUAGAGUUAACUUGUGCUUAGUAGAGAAUUUAUGGAUUUUUCAUUGCAUUAAGGUGCAAAGAUAUUGAUAUGGUUGUUGUUCUUGGCUACCCAUUUUGCUUUCCAGGCCUGACCAGGAAGAAUGAAGAUUGCCUGGAAAUGUGGUACAGCAAGCAAGAUGUAGAAAUAGUGUGUGUCCUGGGGUUGUCUCCCACUGGAGAGUGAGUGGCGUGUUUUCAGUUAAGUGUGGAACAGUUGAAUGAUGUUAGAUUAAAGUACUUUUUUAAAUUAUAUGUGGGAAGAAAGAUGCUUGUGUAUCACUGCAUGUUUAGAAGGAAGAGACUGGCAGCAUUUGUUGUUUUACAAUGUUUCCCCUAAUUUCAUACUUCUGAUUUCCAAUGUCACCCCCACUAGUGGUAAACGGAUCUGCACAUGGGCCAAGCCUAGGAUAUGAGAGAAUCCCAUCCUUUGGGCUAUAGCGAGAGGGACCCAAACUAAGGCAGUUGGCAUAAUUCGUUGAUUUUACUAACUGCAAAUGGUAGGAAAGACAUCUUAUCCUAGAGUUAUCAACCAUGAAAAUGGGAAGCAGUAAUUGCUGGUGGUCAUUCUCCCUGCCCCACAAAGCCACCUGUAUGUAGAAGGAGAGAAUGAGAACAACACAGAGAAGCACAGCCAAGGUCCAGAGAGAAAUCUGAUGACUCCAUUGGUGUUUCUGUUUCCAGUUGUGCUUGAAGCCACAUUUACCCCUGGACUUCCCAGGUACAUGAGCCAAUAAAUCACCUUUGUCCUUAAGCUGAUUUGGAAGAGGUUUUUGCUGUUGCACUGGAAAAAGGCCCACUUAAUACAUACUGAGUUUGGAUGGGAUCAUUAUCCAUGAUAGUUUUAGGUUUAAUUCUUUAAUAGCAUGCUUCCUGCAAGCAUCAAUAACUUGACUUUUUAAAUUACUUUUAAUGUUUUAAUUCAUUCUCUGUGUUCUCAUUUUUCAUUUUGUUGAUUAUAAUUUCAUUACAUUAAAAAAAAGAUAAUGCCCUG